rnacentral:rRNA from 1 species
CGGGACGGGUGAGUAAUGUCUGGGAAACUGCCCGAUGGGGGGGGAUAACUACUGGAAACGGUAGCUAAUACCGCAUAACGUCGCAAGACCAAAGAGGGGGACCUUAGGGCCUCUUGCCAUCGGAUGUGCCCAGAUGGGAUUAGCUAGUAGGUGGGGUAAUGGCUCACCUAGGCGACGAUCCCUAGCUGGUCUGAGAGGAUGACCAGCCACACUGGAACUGAGACACGGUCCAG